AUGUGGGUAGCAGUGACGACAUGUACGAUGAAGAAACCGGAUAAAAUGUUCAGUGCAGAGUUUGGAUUCGAGCAGAGCUUUUCACGGUUCAGAUUUUGCAUUCGAGCCAAAUUUUCGGUACAGGUUUGUUUCGAUUUCAAAUCGAUUUUUGUUUCAUUUCAGAAUUUGAUUUACGUUUUCUGGUUGCUUUUUGGAAUUCUUGUAUUUUUACUGACUCAAUUACGGGUUCUACUACAGUUUGAUUGUGAUUCGAUUUCGUUGCAUAUUUUCGUUUGA